GGGCGUUAAGUUGCAGGGUAUAGACCCGAAACCCGGUGAUCUAGCCAUGGGCAGGUUGAAGGUUGGGUAACACUAACUGGAGGACCGAACCGACUAAUGUUGAAAAAUUAGCGGAUGACCUGUGGCUGGGGGUGAAAGGCCAAUCAAACCGGGAGAUAGCUGGUUCUCCCCGAAAGCUAUUUAGGUAGCGCCUCGUGAAUUCAUCUCCGGGGGUAGAGCACUGUUUCGGCUAGGGGGCCAUCCCGGCUUACCAACCCGAUGCAAACUGCGAAUACCGGAGAAUGUUAUCACGGGAGACACACGGCGGGUGCUAACGUCCGUCGUGAAGAGGGAAACAACCCAGACCGCCAGCUAAGGUCCCAAAGUCAUGGUUAAGUGGGAAACGAUGUGGGAAGGCCCAGACAGCCAGGAUGUUGGCUUAGAAGCAGCCAUCAUUUAAAGAAAGCGUAAUAGCUCACUGGUCGAGUCGGCCUGCGCGGAAGAUGUAACGGGGCUAAACCAUGCACCGAAGCUGCGGCAGCGACACUGUGUGUUGUUGGGUAGGGGAGCGUUCUGUAAGCCUGUGAAGGUGGCCUGUGAGGGUUGCUGGAGGUAUCAGAAGUGCGAAUGCUGACAUAAGUAACGAUAAAGCGGGUGAAAAGCCCGCUCGCCGGAAGACCAAGGGUUCCUGUCCAACGUUAAUCGGGGCAGGGUGAGUCGACCCCUAAGGCGAGGCCGAAAGGCGUAGUCGAUGGGAAACGGGUUAAUAUUCCCGUACUUGGUGUUACUGCGAAGGGGGGACGGAGAAGGCUAUGUUGGCCGGGCGACGGUUGUCCCGGUUUAAGCGUGUAGGUGUGUGUUCCAGGUAAAUCCGGUUCACUUUAACACUGAGGCGUGAUGACGAGGCACUACGGUGCUGAAGCAACAAAUGCCCUGCUUCCAGGAAAAGCCUCUAAGCAUCAGGUAACAUCAAAUCGUACCCCAAACCGACACAGGUGGUCAGGUAGAGAAUACCAAGGCGCUUGAGAGAACUCGGGUGAAGGAACUAGGCAAAAUGGUGCCGUAACUUCGGGAGAAGGCACGCUGACACGUAGGUGAAGUGAUUUACUCAUGGAGCUGAAGUCAGUCGAAGAUACCAGCUGGCUGCAACUGUUUAUUAAAAACACAGCACUGUGCAAACACGAAAGUGGACGUAUACGGUGUGACGCCUGCCCGGUGCCGGAAGGUUAAUUGAUGGGGUCAGCGCAAGCGAAGCUCCUGAUCGAAGCCCCGGUAAACGGCGGCCGUAACUAUAACGGUCCUAAGGUAGCGAAAUUCCUUGUCGGGUAAGUUCCGACCUGCACGAAUGGCGUAAUGAUGGCCAGGCUGUCUCCACCCGAGACUCAGUGAAAUUGAACUCGCUGUGAAGAUGCAGUGUACCCGCGGCAAGACGGAAAGACCCCGUGAACCUUUACUAUAGCUUGACACUGAACAUUGAGCCUUGAUGUGUAGGAUAGGUGGGAGGCUUUGAAGUGUGGACGCCAGUCUGCAUGGAGCCGACCUUGAAAUACCACCCUUUAAUGUUUGAUGUUCUAACGUGGACCCGUAAUCCGGGUUGCGGACAGUGUCUGGUGGGUAGUUUGACUGGGGCGGUCUCCUCCUAAAGAGUAACGGAGGAGCACGAAGGUUGGCUAAUCCUGGUCGGACAUCAGGAGGUUAGUGCAAUGGCAUAAGCCAGCUUGACUGCGAGCGUGACGGCGCGAGCAGGUGCGAAAGCAGGUCAUAGUGAUCCGGUGGUUCUGAAUGGAAGGGCCAUCGCUCAACGGAUAAAAGGUACUCCGGGGAUAACAGGCUGAUACCGCCCAAGAGUUCAUAUCGACGGCGGUGUUUGGCACCUCGAUGUCGGCUCAUCACAUCCUGGGGCUGAAGUAGGUCCCAAGGGUAUGGCUGUUCGCCAUUUAAAGUGGUACGCGAGCUGGGUUUAGAACGUCGUGAGACAGUUCGGUCCCUAUCUGCCGUGGGCGCUGGAGAACUGAGGGGGGCUGCUCCUAGUACGAGAGGACCGGAGUGGACGCAUCACUGGUGUUCGGGUUGUCAUGCCAAUGGCACUGCCCGGUAGCUAAAUGCGGAAGAGAUAAGUGCUGAAAGCAUCUAAGCACGAAACUUGCCCCGAGAUGAGUUCUCCCUGAGACUU
rnacentral:rRNA from 1 species